UACAGGGGGUGCUAGCGUUGUUCGGAAUUACUGGGCGUAAAGGGCGCGUAGGCGGUUUUGUAAGUCAGGAGUGAAAUCCCGGAGCUUAACUUCGGAAUUGCUUUUGAAACUACAAGGCUGGAGUGAGUUAGAGGAUGGCGGAAUUCCUAGUGUAGUGGUGAAAUACGUAGAUAUUAGGAAGAACACCGGUGGCGAAGGCGGCCAUCUGGGACUCAACUGACGCUGAGGCGCGAAAGCGUGGGGAUCAAACAGG
rnacentral:rRNA from 1 species